AGUUUCGGCUUCUGCGGUGAAAGACGGCCUAUGCUUGCAAGCUCUUACUCGAGGACGGGCCUGCGUGCCAUUAGCUAGUUGGUGGGGUAACGGCCCACCAAGGCGAUGAUGGCUAGCUGGUCUUAGAGGAUGGCCAGCCACACUGGGACUGAAACACGGCCCAGACUCCUACGGGAGGCAGCAGUGGGGGAUAUUGCGCAAUGGCGAAAGCCUGACGCAGCGACGCCGCGUGGGUGAUGAAGGCCUUCGGGUCGUAAAGCCCUGUCGAGGGGGAAGAACCGGCAUUGACCUAAUACGUCAGUGCCCUGACGGUACCCCUAAAGGAAGCACCGGCUAACUCCGUGCCAGCAGCCGCGGUAA
rnacentral:rRNA from 1 species